rnacentral:misc_RNA from 1 species
CCAUCACAGAAUCUUGUGCUUGCAUUAUGAAAUACAGCAGCACUGUCAACUUGACGCAGAAAAACUUCUGCAACUUCAUGAUCUUCUGCUAUGAUACAAUCAGUAUGUGCACUUCCAUGUUGAUGUAUAUGAUCAAUGGCAGCAUACACAUCAUCAACAAUUUCUAUAGUGCAAGUCAUAGAAUUGUACUCAUGAUGAAAUGAAUGCGCUUCUGGAAGGUUCAGUUCCUUGCUUGCCCUUGGUCCCCCAUACAAAUUAACACCUGCAGUGCGAAGAUCAACUGUCAGUUCAUUAAGACCACCAG